AUGGAGGAGUAUGUGGUCUGGCCAGUGACCAGACAUAAUGCUGAUAGAAAUGGCACAUUUAUAACAUGCAGCAGAUUCUUCACAAUAUCUUUUGUUACAGGUGUCCAAUCGAACGUCCAGUUGGUUGAGUCUGGAGGAGAAGUCAAAAGGCCCAGAGAGCCCCUCCGCCUCACCUGUCAACCCUCCGGGUUCACCUUCAGCAGCUAUGAAAUGGCCUGGGUGAGACAAGCAUCUGGAAGAGGCUUGGAAUGGGUUGCAGCGAUAAGCUCUAGUGUUGAUAGACAAUAUUAUUCUGACAAGGUGAAAAGGUGUUUCACCAUCUCCAGGGACAAUACAAACAGCCUGCUGGAUGAUCCAAACAACCUGCUGUAUUUACAAAUGAAUAGCUUGAAUCCUGAAGACGUGGCUGUGUAUUACUGUGCAAGAAGCACAGUGAGAGAAAGUGAAUCGGAAAGCAGACAAAAACCCUCCUUGGCAGUUCUCCAAGUUCACUCAAAUGCAACAGCUUGA